rnacentral:lncRNA from 1 species
AUUAUCUGUUUGUUAGAAUCCAGUUUGGCCAUAAAAGUUAUCCUCAAUUAAUAAAAUGAAUGUUGCAUCAGUGUUGCUAUACAGGUAACCUGGCAUCAGUGGAUUGUUCAGUGAAACUUUACAUAAAUCAAUACAUAUAUUGGAGCUUACAUUAUACAGUACUAAUAGGUCACAAAAACUUAAUAUUAAAAAUAGCUAUAUUAAAGAAUAAGCACAUAAGUUCCAUAGUAAAGCAAUUGCUUACCAUCUUGAAAGAUUUGAAUUCGAUUCCAAGUCCUACACCUCCAGUUUUUUCAGGAGGGAUCCUGUUUCAAACCCAG